rnacentral:rRNA from 1 species
GAUGAACGCUGGCGGCGUGCCUAAUACAUGCAAGUCGAGCGAACAGACGAGGAGCUUGCUCCUCUGACGUUAGCGGCGGACGGGUGAGUAACACGUGGAUAACCUACCUAUAAGACUGGGAUAACUUCGGGAAACCGGAGCUAAUACCGGAUAACAUGUUGAACCGCAUGGUUCAACAGUGAAAGACGGUUUUGCUGUCACUUAUAGAUGGAUCCGCGUCGCAUUAGCUAGCUGGUAAGGUAACGGCUUACCAAGGCAACGAUGCGUAGCCGACCUGAGAGGGUGAUCGGCCACACUGGAACUGAGACACAGUCCAGACUCCUACGGGAGGCAGCAGUAGGGAAUCUUCCGCAAUGGGCGAAAGCCUGACGGAGCAACGCCGCGUGAGUGAAGAAGGUCUUCGGAUCGUAAAACUCUGUUAUUAGGGAAGAACAAAUGUGUAAGUAACUAUGCACGUCUUGACGGUACCUAAUCAGAAAGCCACGGCUAACUACGUG